UGAGGCAGGAGAAUUGCUUGAACCCGGGAGGUGGAGGCUGCAGUGAGCCGAGAUCGCACCACUGCACUCCAGCCUAGGUGACAAAGCGAGACUCCAUCUCA
rnacentral:miRNA from 1 species